CCUCACAUUCGGUGUAUGUAUCCACUAUAUCAACCACGUUUAGAUUAAGCGCCGCCCCCACCAUUUAUAUUUCCUCUUCUUCAUCUUUUUACCACAUAAAAUUUUUCUUCACUUUUCCUUCACCCUCCUCUAGCUCCUAAGCUACAUCUUUUUUUUUUUUUUUCUUAAUUUCUAGCUACACACAUAUCUAUAUAGUGACAAAGAAUAUUUGAGUUUGGUUGGUUUCAAUGGAGAAUUAUUCCAUGUUGUUCCCCUGUCCAAAUUCUUCUAGCUACCCGGCUUCAGCAAGUGUUCUAGGAAGCUCUCAGCAUGGUUUUAGUGGUCAAAGCUCUAACAACGCAUUUCUGGGUUUGAGGCCUACAAAUGAAAGUAGUGAUCAUCUUGAUGAGAAGUUGGUGAACAAAGGAGAAGGUGGUAGAGAUGGUUUAAUGUCUCAGUUCAGUGGGAGCAUUAAUGUGAGUGAUGAGUUAGGUGGUUCAGGGAACAAUAAAAAGAAAGGGGAGAAAAAGGUUAGAAAGCCUAGAUAUGCUUUUCAAACAAGGAGCCAAGUUGAUAUACUUGAUGAUGGGUAUCGAUGGAGGAAGUAUGGCCAAAAAGCUGUUAAGAACAACAAAUUCCCAAGGAGCUAUUACCGGUGCACGCAUCAAGGAUGCAAUGUGAAAAAGCAAGUCCAACGCUUAACCAAAGAUGAAGGGGUAGUGGUGACCACUUAUGAGGGAGUGCACACCCACCCAAUUGAGAAGACAACAGACAACUUUGAGCACAUUUUGAGUCAGAUGCAAAUAUACACUCCCUUUUGAAGCUUCUUUUCCACAUAAACUGGCACAUUGUCUUCUGCCAGUUACAUCAAUUGGGAAACCCUAGUUUAGUUCCGCUUUUGAUACAAAAAUAAAACUGUGUCAAUAGAAGUAAAACCUAGUUUGCAUAAACUCUUAGACAAUCUUCUUUCCUUUUUUUUUUUUUUUUCUUCUUUUAAAUUGGAAUAUUAGGUUAUGUAAAUUCAGCCGUCAAGUUUGGUACCGCUGAAAAUAUAUACAGGUGGAGAUCAAAAUCUUACGAGCUAGCUUUGCUAAACAAGUCUUGAAGGAGCAGGAUGCCAUCAAUGACUGUGAGCGAAGCAAUUUUCUUCAUUUGCAUCCAAACGUAUAUAUGUUGGGGAAGCGUUUACCUUUAUUCUAUUUUGUUUGUUUGUUUGUUUUUUUUUUUUUUUUCAAAACUGUUGAUUGUCACUCACUUAUUUUAAUAAUAAUAAUAAAAAAAAAGGGCAUGGUAUAGCCCUUAACAAAUGU